rnacentral:rRNA from 1 species
UACGUAGGGUGCGAGCGUUAAUCGGAAUUACUGGGCGUAAAGGGCGCGUAGGCGGCCUUCUAAGUCGAACGUGAAAUCCCCGGGCUCAACCCGGGAACUGCGUCCGAUACUGGAAGGCUUGAAUCCGGGAGAGGGAUGCGGAAUUCCAGGUGUAGCGGUGAAAUGCGUAGAUAUCUGGAGGAACACCGGUGGCGAAGGCGGCAUCCUGGACCGGUAUUGACGCUGAGGCGCGAAAGCCAGGGGGGAGCAAACGGGG